AUUUGUUUCUGUUUACAUCAACACUUGUUCAUUUUUAUUAUUGAAUAACAAUUACAAAUGACUGUGUAUUUCAAUAAUUCAAAGGAAAUGAUUUUAUAUCAUGGUAAGUUUUGUUGUUACUGUUAUUGUCCAAAAUAUUUUAAUAUUUAUAUCCUUUUUUUCAUUUCAUGGUCAAACUCAUGUGAGUUGAUUGAUUGGAAAGUUAAGUCACAUUCAUUAUUAUUGGACAACACCAAUAUUAUCAUCAGAAGUGGUCAGGUGUCACAUGUCGACAAAAAAUUUCUUAGCUAUAGGCCUUUAUUCAUAAUUACAAUUUCUCUACGUAUGAUUAUUUUACUUUUCAAUAUUACCUUAUCGUGUACAUUAAUUGAAAUUUUAAUACAAAUUAGAUCAUACCAAAGAAAA